UACGAGGGGUCCUAGCGGUGUUCGGAAUCAUUGGGCGUAAAGCGGGUGCAGGCGGCCUUGCAAGUCGGAAGUGAAAGCCCUGGGUUCAACCUAGGACGUGCUCUCGAUACUGCUUGGCUUGAGUGUGGGAGAGGCUAGUGGAAUUCCUGGUGUAGUGGUGAAAUACGUAGAUAUCAGGAGGAACACCGGUGGCGAAGGCGGCUAGCUGGCCCAACACUGACGCUCAGACCCGAAAGCGUGGGGAUCAAACAGG
rnacentral:rRNA from 1 species